ACUUUCCUGCAGAGACCUAUACUUGAAAUCAGUGGCUGUAAUCGUUGAAUAAACAUAUAACACAGGAAAUAACAUUUUGUGCACAAACGAACAAUUAUAUUCUAAGCUUGCUUAACAUGCUCGAAGCAGAAUCGUAACAUUGUUGAAAAGUUUUUGUGAUCCGGUGAAAACGCACUAAUAUUUUCGCUUUAACACGAAACAGGAAACUCAUAAAUAUUCAUGUUUACUGACACCCCAAAUAUCCCCUACACCGAAUAUUUCAGAACAAUGGCCUAAUCAGUUCUCUACUGUGUGCACAACAGAGAAUAUAUUAGAGAAUCAGACACCGACUUUGAGCUGAAACUAGAGCAGCUCUCUGAGCCCAAAGGUUCUUCUAGAGGCAGUGUUCCUUAGUAUUGACCCUUACAUGCGACCAUUCAGCCGUGUUCGACUGAAAGCAGGAGAUGUGAUGAUCGGAGCUCAAGUUGCCAACAAUAUCACCAGAGUCUUGGAUGCCUGGCCUCAGGAUAUCUCCUCCUCCCAUGCCCUUGGAGCCGUUGGCUUAUCAUGGUCCUUGUCCACACCUUUAGAUGAUUUUUAAGCAGUUGAAAAUGGAAGGUUUCUUGGUAGGCAGGUGGGAACAUAAAAAUGAAGAGUCACUGAAGCGAACAUUGACCUGGAUGCUGCUAGUCUGGUUAUUACUAUACUAUGCUUUAUUUAAAUACAAUUGUACUUCUUCUCUGUAAGUAUCAUAUAUUAAUAAUGAUGCCUAUUCUCUUGAUGCUGCGAGGAGAAAAUACCGAAAAAGCCAUUGUUAAAGUCUAAUAACAAGUAUUGCAGUGGUGUCCUUUAUUUUGUUUUACAAAUAAAGUCUCUUUUUUUGUACAUUUGCAACAUUCUCUAGGACAGAUAUGCACAAAACAAGAAUAAUAUGAUACUUGCUCUAAUAUUAGAAGCAUAAAGGAGAUAUUGAUCUCAAAAGAUUAGGCCUAUCAAGUCUGUUGCUCAGCAUUAUUCAGCAUUUGUAAAUCCUGUCAUAAAAAAACCCAGCAGAAUAUGUUUAGUCAUCAUGAACUAAAUGAACAAUAGUGAUAGCAGAUAAAUCAUUAACUGUCUUUAGAUGGUCUUUAUAGUAAGACGGAUGCAGACAGGCAAAUAAAGUCGCUUUUUAGAGGUUUCUAACAAGACACGUUUUCUUUGAAAGUUAUUUUGAUAUAUAAAUAAAUAAAUGCAUGAGCUUAAAAAUUAAAGUUAAAAAUAAUUUGGUAUUUUUACUACCUGCACUGGGUGUUUGGUGGUAAUGUACAAUGACACAACAAAAAUAUCUGUCUGAAAACACUGACAUCUUGUGGCUAUUUAUGAAGGAAUCGUAGUUCAUAGUGAAUGUUCUGGAAGAGACCAACCGGGUCAUCUUAUGUGUGGGGCAAAUAAAAGAUUUAUAUAUAUCAUUCAUGACAAAAUGUGUAGUAGCUUUUGUGUUGCAUUGAUUAAGAAUAUGUUCAAAUACAUUUCAGAAUAAAACAUUUAAUUUUAGUGGAAUAUGGAAUAAUGAUUUUGAUUUGGGUUUUGUCAUACAGUAUACAGUGACAUUCAAAGUAUAUGCAAUGUCAUGGUUAUGAGGUCAUUUCAAAGUCAUCCUGACUGUGCAUUAGAAAUUAUUCUGAUAUUUAAAUAGCAACAAAUAAGAAAAUAAAAUACAUUUUUAUUCACCAACCAUCAAUGUUUAUGUUUACCACUCACAGGGUGUAUUCACACUAGGAAAUUCCGCUAGUUCACUUAAUUUGG